GGAGAACCCUGCAAAAUGUAAUCAUGUCAUUUGGAUCAAAUCAUGAAGCUUUCAAAAAUAAAGGAAAAUACAUUGCUCUUUCCCCUUCCCCACCAGCACUACAAUACUGAAUUAACACAUAAAUGAUCUGCUGGCCAGAGCAGAAUAUGGACCACAGAUGUUAACAACCUGGCACCGCUUGUUGUUUCUCAGUGUUGCAGGAGACAGUUUGUCCUGACUGAAUUCCCAAUGACGUGAAAAGACUGACCAAGUCCAGGCAUUUGAACCAAUUAUUAACUUCAAAUGAUGAGUGCUCAGCUACCUGACAGAUUCCAGUUUGGAAAAAUCCAUCUUUCCAGGAGUGAUGGAGCAGAUGUGUCUACUUUAGCAAUGGGCAGCCUAGAAGAUGGACAUUUGACAGGCGACAAUAGACUGCUCCUUUCCCAGAUUCCAAAACUUCUACACAAGCUGAGAGAAGAGAUAAGAUACAGCUACUGGUGAUUCACUCAGAGCACAGAGGGACCCUGUCCUGCACUGCAGCAAUGCCCACAGAGGAGCUUAGCCAGCUCUUUGGAGGCCAGC
rnacentral:lncRNA from 1 species